AGUUUGCCAUGGGAGCUUUUCUUUGGCCUAACUAGAGACUUUAAUUCUAUUCUGGUCAUUGAUCAUUAUGCUUCUUCCUCUUCUUCUCAGGUGUUUGAGUGUUAUGCUGUUUGAGAUGAAAUGAAAUGCUUGGAUAUCCAUUUUGAAGGGAAGUGCAUGUAUGUAACGUAGCAAUUAAGAAAUGUGUGCUACUGAUAGUGUGUUUAAUAGCUUCUUGUGUUAUUUGCUUUUUUUUUUAAGUGUGAUCAAUUAAUGGGAUUUUCACUUGUUGCCUCCUAAAAAAAAAAAGCAAAUAACACAAGAAGCU
rnacentral:misc_RNA from 1 species